ensembl:lncRNA
UCUAUACCACUCCCCUGUUAAAAAAAGGGUUUCUGUCAGUCUAGUUGUUGGCUGUUUGUGUUUCUUCCUUGUACUGUAAGACACCUUACCUGGGGAGCUCAUGAAGUAAACGUGUCCAUUGAGCUCAGUGUUGUAAGCAGAUGGCUCCAUUGGUUUACUCUCUUAUUAACUCCUCCUGGGCUAGGCAACACCAUAGCAGAUGUCGUCAUCAUGGGGGCAUCAGAGAGAGAUGGGUGCCCUAUGCUCUUUUCUUGUAUGUUGCUUUCAACAAGAUCAGUUGGACGUUUGUCAGGACCAGUAUCAACCCAUUCUAGAGACCUGAUUUGGAUACCAGUGGCUUCUUGAGUUGCUCAUCUGUUAAAGGCUUUGAUACUUUCCAACAAUGCCAUGUAAGGGACCAAGCUCAUAACACGUGACCCCUGAGAGUUGUGUUAAAACCAUAUUUGCAUCAUAGCAGACCUGGCUGUAUCAUCACCAGCUCUCUUCAUGGGAGAAUUCUAUGUGCUGGGGCACCUGCCUGUCUCUACCUGCUGUCAUCACACUCAUGCUCAAGAGGACUCAUUCAACACCCUGGACAGCACUUCUCAGGCUGUGGGCCUUGGUGUCAGCUUCACCUUGGGAGUUCACUGAAAUGAGGAAUUUGUAAUAUCCAAGCCCUUCUUAGUGUGUCAUGCCUCUCUGUCCUCUAAAGCUUUGUGCGUCCCCAGGCUCCAUGCCAGUGAGUCUGAGCCACUGGGAACCUGCCAGGCCAUCCUGGGGUAUCUCCAUCAUGGUCAGCUGCAGUUCUAGGGAAUCUUCAGAAUGUGUCUCCAAAGGCAGUCCUUGGACCAGGAAGUAUGGCGAGCGAGAUCUGUUGGCUGACUCCCCAGCCAAGACCUGCCCGUCCUCAUGGCCAGGUGUGGAUUCUUGCUUCUUCACAACUGUUAUUAAUACUGGAUAAAUGCCCAGAUUUUUCCCUCCAGAGAAGAUCAAGAGAACAGAAAGUAGCUGUCAAGACAUGAUGAUCCUCUGCAGCCAUUACAAGGACAAGGGAAAGUCUAGAAUAUACCUGCUUCUUGAUGGGGAGGGGAAAUCAACUUGUUCUACAACUAUGGCAAUGUAGGCCAGCGAAUGUGUCACUGAUCUGAGAGCCUUUAAGUACCAAGAGUGUACUGGGGGAGAGCCAGACAAGCAUCUCUGGGGUCUGUCUGUUGAAGUGAAAAGACUCAGCAGGAAAUCUAUGCAGCAUCACCAGGCCAGAGGAGGAGCCAAAGGAGAUGGGAAGUGGUCAUUUGGAAGACACCUAAAUAUGCAGAGGGGAGAAGAGAGACAACAUUUUCAUGACCUUCCAGAUGGGUUUCUGGAGCUCACGUUGUUCAAAGAAAGAACAGGCUACCAUAAGCAUUCCUCUGAAUUUGUAUUUUUGAGGCAUGGUCUUGUUAGGUAGCCCUGGCUGGCUCACGCUUUACAGAUUUGAAAAGUCUGAGGCCAGGAGCACCAUAGUAAAAUGGCUGACUGCGUAUCAGAGGCAAGGACGCUGGAUGGUAUGUCUUACACAACUUGUCAACUCCUUAACACAAGUCAUAAAUGGAGAGUUUGAGGUCAUAUCCAGUGACCAUAGAAGCAACUUGGGAAAAGCCCUCACUGGUCAAAGACAGGGCUACUUGAACAUUAAUCAUUGUUGUCACUGUUGUCAUCAUCAUCAACACCAUCAUCAUCUCAUUGGUUAAAAUGCCAAGUCUAUAAAAUUAAUGAGGUUAUAUCAUGUUUUAAAACUAUGACAUAUUAUACAUGUAUGUUGUUAGAACAUGAUCAUAUUAUCUGAAAACUGGAAAUUAAGGUGAAAGAAUAAAGUAUGAAUUGUGUUCCUCUUAUAGGAAGCAUGUUUCCAUCUAACUAAAGAGUAGAUAAAGCAAAAAAAAAAUUUUGGCCAUACUGGUGGUUGAACCUAGACUUUUGAUCAUGCAAGGGAAGUGACCUCCAUUUACUCUGGGCUUCACUAAGUCGCGCAGGCUGGCUUUGAGAGCUUUCUGUAGUCCAGGAAAGCCAAGAACAGAAGAUCUUCCUGCCUCAGCCUCCAUGUAGUUGAGAUUACAGGUCUGUGCCAUCAGACCUGGCUACCACAGCAAAUAAAGCAGUUCUUCUCUCUGAACUGGGAAUAUUUAUUGUCUACCUCAUAAUAUCAUUGUAGCACAUUGUAAUGCUCAGCAAAUGUUAGCUUUCACGAUGACUCUUUUGGAAGAGUUCUCUCUCUGUAUAUAUAACAUCUCUGAACAUGUUAUAUAAUAAAACUACAUUUUCUAGAAGA